rnacentral:misc_RNA from 1 species
AACGUAGGGGGCGAGCGUUGCCCGGAUUCACUGGGCGUAAAGCGCGUGUAGGCGGUUCGGUAAGUCGGGUGUGAAAUCCCACGGCUCAACCGUGGAACUGCACCCGAUACUGCCGGACUUGAGGACGGUAGAGGUCGGUGGAAUUCCAGGUGUACCGGUGAAAUGGGCAGAUAUCUGGAGGAACACCAGUGGCGAAGGCGGCCGACUGGGCCGAUCCUGACGCUGAGACGCGAAAGCCAGGGGAGCGAACCGG